rnacentral:rRNA from 1 species
CCUACGGGUGGCAGCAGUGAGGAAUAUUGGUCAAUGGCCGCAAGCCUGAACCAGCCAAGUAGCGUGAGGGAAGACUGCCCUAUGGGUUGUAAACCUCUUUUAUGCGGGGAUAAAGGUGUCCACGUGUGGCUGUUUGCAGGUACCGCAUGAAUAAGGACCGGCUAAUUCCGUGCCAGCAGCCGCGGUAAUACGGAGGGUCCGGGCGUUAUCCGGAUUUAUUGGGGUUAAAGGGAGCGUAGGCCGGUCUUUAAGCGUGCCGUGAAAUUUCGUGGCUCAACCAUGAGAUUGCGGCGCGUACUGGCGACCUUGAGUGCGCGUAAGGCAGGCGGAAUUCGUGGUGUAGCGGUGAAAUGCUUAGAUAUCACGAAGAACCCCGAUUGCGAAGGCAGCCUGCUGGAGCGUUACUGACGCUGAAGCUCGAAAGCGCGGGUAUCGAACAGGAUUAGAUACCCCAGUAGUC